AUCCAGCUGAGAGUGGCGAACAGGACGAAAUGUGCAUCCUGGAU
rnacentral:hammerhead_ribozyme from 1 species